rfam:Anopheles arabiensis strain DONG5_A unplaced genomic scaffold supercont1.49, whole genome shotgun sequence.
GUCCGAUCACCGAAGUUAAGCAACAUCGGGCAUGGCUAGUACUUAGGUGGGUGACCACUUGGGAAAACCAUGUGUCGUUGGCA